UACAGAGGGGGCAAGCGUUGUUCGGAAUUACUGGGCGUAAAGGGCGCGUAGGCGGCCAUCUAAGUCGGACGUGAAAUCCCCGGGCUCAACCCGGGAACUGCGUCCGAUACUGGAUGGCUUGAAUCCGGGAGAGGGAUGCGGAAUUCCAGGUGUAGCGGUGAAAUGCGUAGAUAUCUGGAGGAACACCGGUGGCGAAGGCGGCAUCCUGGACCGGGAUUGACGCUGAGGCGCGAAAGCUAGGGGAGCAAACGGG
rnacentral:rRNA from 1 species